GAUGAACGCUGGCGGCGUGCCUAAUACAUGCAAGUCGAACGCAUUGUGGUUGAAAUGAUAUGAAGAACUUGUUCAGAUUUGAUUUUCAACAUUGCAAUGAGUGGCGAACGGGUGAGUAACACGUGGGAAACCUACCUCUUAGCAGGGGAUAACAUUUGGAAACAAAUGCUAAUACCGUAUAAUAAUUAAAACCGCAUGGUUUUAGUUUAAAAAGAUGGUCUUGCUAUCACUAAGAGAUGGUCCCGCGGUGUAUUAGUUAGUUGGUGAGGUAAUGGCUCACCAAGACAAUGAUACAUAGCCGAGUUGAGAGACUGACCGGCCACAAUGGGACUGAGACACGGCCCAUACUCCUACGGGAGGCAGCAGUAGGGAAUCUUCCACAAUGGACGAAAGUACUGAUGGAGCAACGCCGCGUGUGUGAUGAAGGUUUCGGCUCGUAAAACACU
rnacentral:rRNA from 1 species